GCAUUGGUGGUUUAGUGGUAGAAUUCUCACCUUCCAUGUGGGAGACUGGGUUUGAUUCCCAACCAAUGCA
rnacentral:tRNA from 1 species